rnacentral:misc_RNA from 1 species
CACGACAUCAUAAUAUUGCACCAAGUCUAUUCUCCAAAGAUAUAUUUCGUUGAUCUCCUUGUUAAAAUUGCAUACAAGUAAUAAUAUAGUUGUGUUUCUCUUUUGAUCAUGGGGGACUCUUCUGCUUCUUACAUACACAUGGUGCAGCAUCUUAUAGAGAAGUGUCUGAUAUUUAACAUGACAAAAGAGGAGUGCAUGGAAGCCCUUUCCAAACAUGCAAAUAUCGAACCUGUCAUCACCUCUACUGGUUUGUUUCCCUUUUACUCCAAUUCUCAAAUACUUGACUUUUCAAUAUCAUAUUAAUUAUUGAGGCAACAUAAGGGUUGACACUGGUUACUCCCUCAGUGAUAAAAUAUGAGUUAACUAGGCUUCAUAUAUAUUCCAUUUCACUUCUGUACACAUUCAUCACCCUAUUGAGAUUCACACGUGUAAUAUGAAUAGUAGGACUAUAGAUAAGCUGUUCUAAAAGAAGUUUGAGUUGAAAAAUCUACAGGUUUUGUAUAGGUUUGAGCUAGUUUUAGCUAUUUUAUGAAUGAUCUCUUACGAAUUAUGGGCAAGCCCUAGAUGAUAUUGAGUAACUGGGUUUCAUCUUCUUUGUCUCCUCCUUUUGGAUUAAUAAGGUUCCCUCUGUUUUCUAGUCAAUCACGACUACUCUUACGGUAAAUGAAAACAUGAUUGAACUUGACCUGUUUUGCCUCACAAUCUUAAAAAAAUUUCUCUGCAUAAUUAUAAGCUUUUCUAUAUAUAGUCUUAGCUUCAGUAGGUUGGUUUUAGUUACCCUUUUAAAUCUAAUAUCCAACUAUAAAACAAAGAUCAAAACUUGUUAUUUCCAUUUCACAGGCAAUCACUAAAGAAUUUGGUUAUCAAACAGUCUGAAAGGCAACUUUGAGCAGCUUUGGAUUGUCUUGCUUCUUUUUUCUCUUCCUUGCUAGCUCAGACUAACAGAAAUACGCACUGCAGGGAGUUGACACACACAGUUAUGCGAAUAUUGGUUUAUGUGAAGUGAUCACAUAACAUGAUUAUGAUUUGAUUAAAUGUGUAUAUAUGCAGUGUGGAAUGAAUUGGAGAAAGAGAACAAGGAAUUCUUCGAGGCAUAUGCUCAAUCCAAAAGCAAAGAUGAUCGGAUGUCCGAGGAGGAAACCAGUCAAAUGAUCCAGAAAAUGAUCUCGAAAUCCUCUAAAGAUACCGAUGACUAAAAAUUACGAUGAUGCUACGCGAAAAUGAUAUCCAUCUCUCUCUCCCUUCCUCUCUCUGUCUCUCUUGUGUUCUGGUUGGUAGUUUUGGCUUUCCCUUCCAAACCUAAUCCUGCCAAAAACACAAGAAAUUAGAUUUGAUGUCUCACUUGUACUUGUGGUCCUACAUAUGCAUAUAUGGUGAAUCCUAUGCAUGGUAAAAUAUUGAAUAUGUGGAUUUCAUCCAUGAAAACAGCUUGUAAAUCCUAUGACAUAUGCAUAUCAUGUUCCUAAUUAUUGGAAUAAAAAUCCCAUGUAACCAAUCACACAAUGACAUAUCAUUGUAUUAGCGAAACUUCAUGCAUUUCUCGUAAACUUUGAUGUAAUGAAACCAUUAUUAUCAGUGUGACAUGGUGAAUUUUGAUUGGAUGUGACAUUAUAGUUUACAUAAUUGAAUAGUUGGACGGGGAAGGUUCUCGAGGUUUAAGGUGGUGACACUGUACCUGGAAUCUAGAGGCUGCAUCAAAUAUUGUUGUCUAGUGAAUUCUUUUGGCUUUGGCUUUGGCUUACUUGGAAUGAAAUAUCAAGAGAAAGAACGUGUAUGUGAUGUUUGUUGAAGUAGUCUUUUCCUUCAGUUUAAUAAAAUGGAAG